rnacentral:rRNA from 1 species
UACGGGGGGAGCAAGCGUUGUUCGGAUUUACUGGGCGUAAAGGGCGCGUAGGCGGCGUGACAAGUCACUUGUGAAAUCUCCGGGCUUAACCCGGAACGGUCAAGUGAUACUGUCGUGCUAGAGUACAGAAGGGGCAACUGGAAUUCUCGGUGUAGCAGUGAAAUGCGUAGAUAUCGAGAGGAACACCUGCGGCGAAGGCGGGUUGCUGGGCUGAUACUGACGCUGAGGCGCGAAAGCCAGGGGAGCGAACGGG